AAUGGUUCCAUCUUCAUGUCAUCUCAGCACUAGGCAGGCCGAUCUAUAAUACCUCCAUCUCUCCCCCUCCCUCCCUCGCAGUAUCGACUACAAGCAAUUAUGAAGAUAAAUUAAACUCAGGUCGUGGGCAUGGAAAAGGUAGCACCUGAAAUGUGCUAUCUUGCUCAGCUUAAUUCGGACUCAUUCCCAUAUUUUACGGGCUUAUUAGAUGAUUUUGUAGGACUUGGAUGUAGAGAAGGUAGAAUCAAGCAUUAGAGCAAAAAUUGAGUUUAGGUGGAUCAAUGGAAGCCGUAAUGAAGAAAUUAAGUCAAAGGAGGUGAAAAAGACCGUGGAUGGCCCUUCACUGCAGUGCCAGGCGCCAAAGACAAGCUUCAAAACAGGACAGUGUCACAGUGGUAUCACAUAUAUGGAAAGACGGCAAUUAAAGGGGCAUAGUGCUGUGACGCUUUCAAUACUUUUAUAAAUACAUCUUUUUGCCUCUAGAUUAAAUCACACAACCUCCAUCCAAAUUCCCACAACUUUCCCUCUAUUUUCUCUGUAUGUUCACAUCUUUAUGCUGUAUCUUUGCCCUCUACAUUUGUAUCCAUUGAGGAUGAAGACUUGUAUAGACUAAGGGGUACUUUCUAGUUUGGGUUGAGGAAGAAACCUAUUGAAUCAUGUUGCGAGGACUUGUAAUUUAUAUUCUCAUCGCUUGUGAUUCUUGAAUGUAUUUGAAUUUAUGUUUUUUUAUUA